AUCACUAGUUAUUCUAACUGCUACCCUCAUCGUCAAUUUUCCCUUUUCUUUCUUCUUUAUUCUCUGAUAACCUUUACUAAAUUUUGUGCUGAAAUCGUUACUGUCUCGGUUCAGAAACGACCCAAGAUGAUUAAACUGGAGGACGUUACCUCAGCAUUAGAUUAUAAUAAAUUUAGCUUUCUCUACUCUCAGCUACAAUGCAAGCAGAAUGAUUUGAAAGAGCUGAGAGAAUUUUUAAACGAAAGUCGUUCGAUUGAGGAAAAUUAUUGUAAAGGUUUAUUGAAGCUAUAUUGUAAAUUUCCAAAAGAGGAUCAUUUCAGUUCCUUUCAAUCUCUCUGGGACAAUCUGAAAGAUCUCGUCAGGGGGGCUUGCAAUUUGCACCAAACUGUAGCUCACAAUUUGAAUGAUAUAUCCAACAAUCUUAAAAAGUAUAUGGGUAUAACAUCCUACUUAUUCUUAACGAUUAUUUGCUGUUUUUUUUAACUUGUCAAUAGUUUAAUGGAAUUCCUUUUCCAUUGUAGAAAGUGUCAAAACCAAAAAUGAGGCUAUUAAGAUGGAAGAGAGCAGUAUACUUACGUUUAAAAGAUCUUUAGAUAACCUUGAAAAAUCAAAAGAAAAAGCUAAAAGUGACUAUAGGAGCGUAAUUAAUUAUCUGAAUGAUUAUAAGACUAGGUCGUUUGUUAAAGGCGACUGUUUGGAAAAGCUUAUGUCAAAAGCUGAAAAGUCAUCGUUGACCUUUAAAACUCUUGACGUCCGUUAUGUCGAUUCAAAGGACGAAUUUGAAAGAAGACUUGAAAAGAUGUAUGGAAAUAUAGAAAAAGCAGAAAACCAUCAUUUAGAUAACUUGAAUAGCUUUACUAUUGAUUAUUCGAACGUAUGGACGAGUUAUUCUUUAAAUUUUGAUCAGCUCCUUAAGCAUAAAAAUCUAAAGAAAUUAAAGAAGAGCUCCUCCCCUCCUCGCUACUCUUCUCCUAGUCAGUCGAAAGGCUAAAUUGCAAACAAUGCAAACAAGAUGAAAGAGGAUCUAAAUCGGAAGGGAGAAGUCAAUUGACUAAACAAUUAUUUUCGUAUUAAUUUCAGACUUACUGUCUUCUUUUAGUUGAUUUUAUUAACGAAAUAAUUAAGGAAUUUGUUAGGCUUAUGUAUGGAAUAUUUUGCCUGUUAAAUUAUAGAUUUUACCAACCUACUCUGCCAACUAAACAUAUGUAACAAUCUACGCAAUAGCUUAUUAAUAUUAUUAAUAAAUAAACACUGAGUGCGUGCCAAAGUUCAAUUUAUCUUUAAUGCCAUCCAAGUCAUUUUUACGUUUUAACCUACGCAACAUAUUUUCUAGACUAGCUACACAGCUGUAAUAUUCACGAACAACGCUAAUGUCUCUUAUUUUUUACAUUUAGAUAAAUAAAUCUUAUACUUAGUAUAUAAAUGUCGACUUUCUAUAAAUUUACUUUUAUACUAAACUAUGUAAGCAUGAAAUUAAUGACUUUUAUAUUCCUUAUCCAACUGGUAUCUUCCGAGAAUAUUGAUCUCUUGGGAAAACCUGUAAAACAAUCUGGUAAGAAUAGAAUACUAUUCGAUGGGGUUUUGCACAAGGCCGAAUUGGCUAUUGAUGGGGAUGAGACUGAUGGAGGGGACUUUAAAUCGUGCAUGAAUGCCGAACCGGAUGGUGAUUAUAAAUGGCUAAUGAUUGAUCUGGAAAGUGUAUAUAACAUUAAUAAAGUAAAUUUAGUGCUAAGGGAAUGUUGCUUUGAUCAUUACAGAGAAUUGUUUAUUCGUUUAUACACUAAACCUCCAGAAAAAUGGUACGACGGUGGAGAUUUGUGCAAACAUUUCAAAAUUGAAAAAGAUCCACCAAGAAAAAUAAAUAUAUCAUGCGAUAACCCCGUAUCUGGCCGUUAUGUUGCAAUAUCUAUGAAUUAUAAACUUCCAAUUUAUAAGAACUUGCAGCUUUGCGAGGUCUAUAUCGAUGGAACUUUGACAGGCAACUCUGUAAAACAAGCCACGAACUACACACCCAAAAUAGCCAGAACGACGGACCGUUUGUCAACCUCAUCAACUUUGACUGUUACUCCCGUUCCAACGCCAACAAGCACAGAGAAGAUUAAGUAUAGUAAGAAAGCGGAAAAAGAAUGCUCUAGCCAGGAUUCUUGCGGAUUAAGGUGUACCGAUACAGUUGAACCAUCGGGAUUAGAAGCCGUUCCUAACAGUUGGCCGUUUUUAGCGGCCAUAUUCCAAAGAACGCCUUAUUUGCGGUACAUUUGUGCAGCAACGAUUAUUUCACAUAAAUGGUUAAUUACAUCAGCAAAUUGCUUUGAGGGCGAUCUAAAGAGUGAAAAUUACAUAGUCCUAGUUGGAGUGACAAACACUGAAUUUGAAGAAUUAAAUUUUAACCAAAAGGAACACGAAAUAAACCGAUUUGUGUCCCAACCGGAAUUUCCGGAAAAAACUGACAAUGGUACUGUCCUAAUUGAAUUAAAGGAAGAUCUUAUGUGGAAUCAACAAAUACGUAGAAUUUGUCUAUCACCACAAAAACCCUCUAAGGCUGAUAAAUGUUUUCAAGUAGGUUGGGGUUCAAGGUUUCUUAACUUAAAAGGUUGUGAUAAUUAG
rnacentral:misc_RNA from 1 species